rnacentral:tRNA from 1 species
UAGCUUAGUUGGUAAAGAAUUUGCCUGCAAUGCAGAAGACCCUGGUUCAAUUCUUGG